UAACUGCGAUACUUAGUGCGAACUGCAGAUAUUUUGAGCACUGAGGCUUCCAAUGCACAUUGCGCCAUCGGAGCAACACCUUUGGCACACCUGGUUCAGGGUUGUCUAAUCGAAACGAACGCCUCUUCGUUCACUUUCAGUGGGAUCACCGGCAUUCCAGCCAGUGUUCCCGCCUCUUGCCGCCGGUAUGGGCUGCCUGCCGCUCGAUUGCAGCACGGCCCCUACCGGUGUUAAGGAGCCAGGCAACGCGCUCGCCAGCUGGCGGCAGUCAAUCACAGCCGUAGAUUGCCUUGCCGCCGCGCUUGUUCGGCUGAGCGACGCAUAGCCAUGUAAGGCUCGCAACAGCGACCUGAACUCAGGUGAGAUCACCUGCUGAACUUAA
rnacentral:misc_RNA from 1 species